rnacentral:rRNA from 1 species
CAUGUAGGCGGUCGUGCAAGCUUGGUGUGAAAUCCCGGGGCUUAACUCCGGGACUGCGUUGAGAACUGCACGGCUAGAGUAACUGAGGGGCAGCCGGAAUUCCAGGUGUAGGGGUGAAAUCUGUAGAUAUCUGGAAGAACACCAAUGGCGAAGGCAGGCUGCCAGCAGAUUACUGGCGCUGAGGUGCGAAGGGUGCGGGGGAGCAAACA